rnacentral:rRNA from 1 species
UACGAAGGGGGCUAGCGUUGCUCGGAAUCACUGGGCGUAAAGGGUGCGUAGGCGGGUCUUUAAGUCAGGGGUGAAAUCCUGGAGCUCGACUCCAGAACUGCCUUUGAUACUGAAGAUCUUGAGUUCGGGAGAGGUGAGUGGAACUGCGAGUGUAGAGGUGAAAUUCGUAGAUAUUCGCAAGAACACCAGUGGCGAAGGCGGCUCUCUGGGACGGUACUGACGCUGAGACGCGAAAGCGUGGGGAGCGAACAGG